rnacentral:rRNA from 1 species
GACGAACGCUGGCGGCGUGCUUAACACAUGCAAGUCGAACGGUGAAGCGCCUUCCUUUUUGGUGGGUGUGGAUGAGUGGCGAACGGGUGAGUAACACGUGAGUAACCUGCCCCCUUCUUCUGGAUAACCGCAUGAAAGUGUGGCUAAUACGGGAUAUUCUGGGUCUGUCGCAUGAUGGGUCUGGGAAAGAUAUUGUUUCGGUGGGGGAUGGGCUCGCGGCCUAUCAGCUUGUUGGUGGGGUGAUGGCCUACCAAGGCGGUGACGGGUAGCCGGCCUGAGAGGGUGGACGGUCACAGCGGGACUGAGCCACCGCCAAGACUACUACGGGAGGCAGCAGUGGGGAAUAUUGCACAAUGGGCGCAAGCCUGAUGCAGCGACGCCGCGUGAGGGAUGGAGGCCUUCGGGUUGUGAACCUCUUUCGCCAGUGAAGCAGGCCUGCCUCGUUUGUGGGUGGGUUGACGGUAGCUGGAUAAGAAGCGCCGGCUAACUACGUG